rnacentral:rRNA from 1 species
CGCGUAGGCGGGCCAGCCAGUCUGUGGUGAAAUCCUCCAGCUUAACUGGAGAAGUGCCGUGGAUACUGCUGGCCUCGAGGAGGGUAGGGGCAUCUGGAACGGUCGGUGGAGCGGUGAAAUGCGUUGAUAUCGACCGGAACUCCGGUGGCGAAGGCGAGGUGCUGGACCCUUUCUGACGCUGAGGCGCGAAAGCCAGGGAGCAAACG